UACGGAGGAUGCGAGCGUUAUCCGGAUUUAUUGGGUUUAAAGGGUGCGCAGGCGGCACGGCAAGCCGGCGGUCAAAUCGCGGGGCUCAACCCCGCCCAGCCGUCGGAACUGCCGGGCUAGAGUGGGCGAGAAGUGCGCGGAAUGCGUGGUGUAGCGGUGAAAUGCAUAGAUAUCACGCAGAACUCCGAUUGCGAAGGCAGCGCUCCGGCGCCCUACUGACGCUCAGGCACGAAAGCGUGGGUAUCGAACAGG
rnacentral:rRNA from 1 species